ACUGGACCCCUAGCCUGGGUACCUCCAUAUGCCGCGGGAGCCGCCCAAGAAAUGGCAAAAAGACACACACACACACACACAAAUUUGCUCCUCGGUGCUAGUAAUACAAAACUCCCUGUGCUAAGUCCAAAGGAAAAGAUUCCCCUUGUUUUAGCUUUUACCUAGUUCUUUCUCUGGUUAGACUCUUCAGUAAUCUAGAACCUUUGAAAAAGUGAGACCUUCUUCAACAAGUUGCUGUUUUUAUUAGAUUUGCCUCAUUUAUACAAAUUGCACCAGAAUUAAUGAGGAAUAAGAAAUGAAUAAUGAAAGCUAAUAAUAGGAGACACAGAAUUUACAAAUUUGAGAAGAAAUAAAUCUUUAGAUAUCCCAGUAAACAAAGUUGAAAUAAAAUUAGGAUAUUUGAAAGUCCAAUUGAUAGGCCUUUUAUGAUACCUGUGGGUGGGUACCACUUUAAUUUCCAUUUUAUAAAAGGGAAAACUGAGGGUUAGUUUAAAUAAUCUCCCCGCAGAUACAAGACUCAGGUUAUUGAGACUAGGUGAUGGGAUUAAAUGUGGGAAAUAGGUGGUGUUUAAAAACUGCUAGUGAUAUGGAAAGGGAACUAAUAUUUGAUAAAUAUAAAUACAUGACAAGUAAUCUACUGUCAUUUGGUGCUCAAUUAUUUCUCAUCACAACCUUAAGAAUUAGAUAUUAUCAUCUCCAUUUUGCAGAUAAUGAAAUAGAAGCUUGUAGGAGGUAAGACAUCUUCCUACAUUGCCCAUUUGGGUAGCUCACAUUUGACCAUUGAACUCUGACUGCAAAAACCUAUGCCUUUUUUUACAAUAUGAACGAAUCGUAAACUCUUUUAAAGCAGGAAAUUACUUUACUUGAAUAUGAAGACUGAUUUCUGGGCCUUCAUAGAGCUUAUGUUGUUUUUAUGGUCAUUACUAUUCCAAUGAGUCAUUUAACAUACUGUCUUGAUUAUAUGUGUACAUGUUCCAUCUAUUUUAUGCCCCUAUGGGGCAGGAACUGUGCUCUAUUAAUUUUUGGAUCUCCCACAGACGCCUACUACAGCAGUAUUCCCAAUGCACCCCUUCUUUUACACUUUUUUAAAAAAAUAAUCAUAUAGUUUUAUAAAAUACAUCUCUCCACUUAAAUAGAUUCCAGCUGUGACAAUGUUUAUAAUUUCUCUGUAAUUUGAACUUUCAUCAAAUUUCUACUUUUAGAAAUGCAGAUUUGCAAUUAAUCAAUGACUCAUUCAGAAAGUGAGAUUCCUUCUCUGGUCAUAGGGCAUAGAGAGAUUUGUUACAAAGUAUAAAACCAAAUGAAUUUCUAACACAGGAAAAACAUUUCAACCAUCUAGAAAGAGAUUUGUGAGCAUUCUUUAUGGGACUGGAAGUUGUUCUUGGAAUGAGGUUAACAGUGCUGAGAAAAUUUUUUAAAUAAAGUCUUCUAAAAGGAAAUAUAAAUAUUUUCACCCAUAUUUAAUGUGUCAUAAAAUCUCUUUGUUCCUCUUUUAAAGCUAUUAAAAAAUAGUUAUUUUAUGUAAGAGGUUUUCAAACAGAUAUGCUAUUAAAUAUUCUAGAAUAGUUUUUGACGGUCUGCAGUUACUGUCAAUGACUAACCAUGGAAAAGUGUUUUUGUGUUGGUCUUUGCAUGCCUGAGGCAAUUACCAUUCUUUUUUUUUUUUUCCCACCAGGCCCUUAUUUUUCAUGAUUUUUUUUUUUUUUUGGAGCUUUGUUGAAGUAUAAUUGGCAAAAUUGUGGAUAUUUAAAGUGUAAAGUGUGAAGAUUUGAUAUACAUUGUGAAGAGAUUCCCCCCAUUGAGUUAAUAAACAUCCAUCACCUUGCAUAUUUUCCUUUUCUUUGGUGAGAAUAUCUAGGUCCUACUCUCUUAGCAAUUUUCAAUUAUACAAUACAGUAUUACCAGCUGUAGUUACCUGUUCUACGUUAGAUCCUCAGAUCUUAUUCAUCUUACAACUGAAAGUUUGUAUCAUUUUGCUAACCCCUCCCUCGUUUCUUCACCUCCAGCCCCUGGAAACCACUCUUCUAUUCAUUCUUUUCUUUUCCUUUAUUUUCACUUCCUUCCUUCCUUCCUUUCCUCCUCCCUUCCUUCCCUUCCUUCCUUUCUUCCUCUCUCCCUUUUUCCUUUCUUUCAUUCUAUGGCUGCACCCACAGUAUAUGGAAACUCCUGGGCAAGGGACUGAAUGAAUCCAAGCCAUAGCUGUAACCUAUGCCACAGUACAGCAAUGCCUGGUCCUUUAACCUACUGCACCAAUCCCGGGAUUAAACACCUCGCUGCUGUCAGAUUCUUGAUCACUGUGCCAUAGUGGGAAUUGCCUCGUCUAUAUUUUCUUAAUGUUUCUAUGAGUUUGACUUUUGUUAAAGAUUCCACAUGUAAGUCAUACCAGGCAGUGGUUUUCUUUUUCUGUCUGGCUUAUUUUUUUUUCACUUAGCCCUCUAGAUUCACCGGUGUUUGUUGCAAAUGACAGGAUUUCCUUCUUUUUCAGGAUUGUAUAAUAUUUCAUUAUAAAUAAAUAAAUAACAUAUAAUAUUUCACUAUACAUAUAUACAUAAUAUAAAGCUAUCUUCCUACCUAUGUAUCUCAUAUUUUCUUUUCCAUUCAUCUGUUAGGUUACACUAAGGUUGUCUCCAUGCCUUGACUAUUAUGAAUAAGGCUGCUGUGAACAUGGGAGUAUGUGUAUCUCCUCCAAAUAAUGAUUUCAUUUCCUUUGGAUGUAUACCUAGAAGUUGGAUUGUAGGAUCAUAUGGCAGUGCUAUUUUCAAUUUCUUGAGGAACUUCUGUAAUGUUUUCUAUAGUGACCAUAUGAGUUUAUAUUCCCACCACCAAGAUACAAGGUUUUCCUUUUCUCUAUAUUCUUGAAAAUAGUUGUCCUAAUAAGUGUGAGGUGAUAUCUCAUUAUGGUUUUGAUUUACAGUUUCUUGAUGAUUAGUGAUGUUGAGCACUUUGUCAUGUGCCUGUUGGUCAUCUCUGUCUUCUUUAGAAAAAUGUCAAUUUAGAUCCUAUGCCCAUUUUAAAAUUGUUUUAUUUUCCCUAUUGAGUUGUAUGAGUCCCUUGAGAAUUUUGGAUAUUAACCAUUUAUUAGAUACAUAAUUUACAAAUAUUCCCUCCUAUCCCAUUGGUUGUCUUUUCAUUUGUUGAAAGUCUCUUUGCUUCAUAAAAGUUUUUUAGUUUGAUGUAGUCCCACUAUGUUUUUUGUUGUUUUUGCUUUUGAUGUCAAAUCCAAAAAAAAGUCAUUGUCAAGACUGAUGUCAAGGAAUUUACUACCUGUGUUUUCUUUUGGGAAUUUUACUAUUUCAGGUAUUAUGUUCAAGUUUUUAAAUCAUUUUAAAUUUAUUUUUGUUUAUGGUAUAAGACGAGGUCUAAUUUCAUUCUUUUUUGUGUGACUGUCCAGUUUUCCCCUCAUUAUUUGUUGAACAGAUAAUCCUUUUCACAUUGUAUAAUUCUUGGCUUCUGUGUCAUUAAUGAAUUGAUCAUAUAUGUAUAAGAAUAGUUAUUGGUUCUAUAUUCUGUUCCAUUGAUCUAUGUUUGUUUUUAUGCCAGUACCAUAGUGUUUUGAUUACUAUGGCAUUGUAAUAUAGUUUGAAAUCAGCAGGUGUGAUGCUUCCAGCUUGGUUUUCUUUAUCAAGAUCACUUCAGCUAUCUUGGUUUUUUGUUAUCGGUGGUGGUAGUGGUAGUUCCAUAAUUUUAGAAUUGCUUUUUUUAAUUUCUGUGAAAGUGACAUUGGAAUGUUGAUAAGGAUUGUAUUAAAUCUGUAGAUCACUUUGGGUUUGGGUAGUAUGAACAUUUUAACAAUAUUAAUUCUUCCUAUCCAUGAACAUGGAAUAUUUUUCCAUUUAUUUGUGUUAUCUUCUAUUUUGUUCAUCAGUGCCUUAUAGUUGUCAGUGCGCAGAACUUUCUCCUUUUUGGUUAAAUUUAUCCAUAAGUGUUUCUUCAUUCUGAUGUAGUUAUAAGUGGAAUUGUUUUCCUAAUUUCUUUUCUUGAUAGUUACUUGUUGAGUUUUGUGUAUUU
rnacentral:lncRNA from 1 species